rnacentral:rRNA from 1 species
UACGUAGGGGGCGAGCGUUGUCCGGAGUUACUGGGCGUAAAGGGCAUGCAGGCGGUCGGACGCGUUUCGGGUGACAGCGGGUGGCUUAACUACCCGAGUGGUCGAAAGACGGUUUGACUUGAGGACGCGAGAGGGACACGGAAUUCCGGGUGGGGUGGUGAAAUGCGUAGAGAUCUGGAAGAACACCAAAGGCGAAGGCAGCAUCCUGGGAAGUUCCUGACGCUCGGGUGCGAAAGCCAGGGGAGCGAACGGG